AAUGAACGUUGGCGGCAUGGAUUAGGCAUGCAAGUCGAGCGAGAAGUGUAGCAAUACACGGAAAGCGGCGGAAGGGAGAGUAAUACGUGGGAAACUGCCCUUAGACCUGGGAUAGCAGCGGGAAACUGCUGGUAAUACCAGAUAAUGUCUAUGGACCAAAGGUGGGAUUCCGUCUAGGGAUGAGCCCACGUCCUAUUAGCUAGUUGGUAGGGUAAUGGCCUACCAAGGCGAUGAUGGGUAGCGGGUGUGAGAGCAUGACCCGCCUCACUGGGACUGAGACACUGCCCAGACACCUACGGGUGGCUGCAGUCGAGAAUCUUCGGCAAUGGGCGCAAGCCUGACCGAGCGAUGCCGCGUGCGGGAUGAAGGCCUUCGGGUUGUAAACCGCUGUCGAGGGGGAGCAACUUCCAUAGAGUUAUCUUUAUGGAUUGAGUGAUCCCUGGAGGAAGGACGGGCUAAGUUCGUGCCAGCCGCCGCCGUAAGAC
rnacentral:rRNA from 1 species